UAUAUUUUUAGGAACCAGAUGUGGAAUCGAAAUAAAAAAUACAACAAUGAUUACUUACAAACUUUUAUCGGAAGUCUAAACAAAAUGUGUUACAAAAAUAAAAGAGUGCUAACGUUUAAAUAAUUUUAAGGAAUACUACUAAAUUACAAAAAUAGGCAGGUUAACUCUCCAAACGGAAAAGGGUUUCCCUUAUACUACACGAAACACGUUCACAGUUCACGAAGUGCGUCUCGAACUGAACCGCGCACAGCGCACGCGCGUCAUCCCUCCUACGGUGACCCUUCUUCACUAUUCUUCUAACACGGCCUCUCCUGACUGAAGGACGUCCUCGUGCUCCUGUGUCUCCUAAUGUUGGGCGCCCACCGAGCAGGAGGGCACAGGCUCCGUAGUAGGCUCGCGAGACAUAUUGUUGCUCCGAGCAGCUUGCUCUGGCGUGGACUCCAUAUCGUCAUCAUGGUCUGCACCUGAGAACAUAGAACAUAUCGGAUCGGAAUAUCAGCAAUUACCAAGAACACAUUGAUCCGUAGUUGAUCACAAAUACAAAUACAAAUACCAGAGAGGAAGCACGACGUUAGCUAUCUCUGACUGUAAGAAACAUAGGCACGACGUUAGCUUAUUUCUUACAUCAGCUCACCUACAUGGCAUAGGCACGACGUUAGCGUACCAUGAGGCUCACAACUUACAAGCAGG
rnacentral:misc_RNA from 1 species